GACGAGCCUCACGAACGUUAUUCGGAAUUACUGGGCUUAAAGGGUGCGUAGGCGGCGCGGAAAGUAGGGUGUGAAAUCCCUCGGCUCAACCGAGGAACUGCGCUCUAAACUACCGUGCUCGAGGGAGAUAGAGGUAAGCGGAACUUAGGGUGGAGCGGUGAAAUGCGUUGAUAUCCUGAGGAACACCGGUGGCGAAAGCGGCUUACUGGAUCUCUUCUGACGCUGAGGCACGAAAGCUAGGGUAGCGAACGGG
rnacentral:rRNA from 1 species